rnacentral:tRNA from 2 species
GGGGCCGUCGUCUAGCAUGGUAGGAUACCAGCCUGGGGCGCUGGCGGUCCUGGGUUCAAAUCCCAGCGGCCCCA